rnacentral:rRNA from 1 species
UACGGAGGGUGCGAGCGUUAAUCGGAAUUACUGGGCGUAAAGCGCACGUAGGCGGAUUGUUAAGUCGGGGGUGAAAUCCUGGAGCUCAACUCCAGAACUGCCUUCGAUACUGGCGACCUCGAGUUCGGGAGAGGUGAGUGGAACUGCGAGUGUAGAGGUGAAAUUCGUAGAUAUUCGCAAGAACACCAGUGGCGAAGGCGGCUCACUGGCCCGAUACUGACGCUGAGGUGCGAAAGGCGUGGGGAGCAAACAGG